ensembl:lncRNA
GGUCUAUGGUGAUAGAUGGGAUGGGCUGAGAGGGUGGUCUAUGGUGAUAGAUGGGAUGGGCUGAGAGGGUGGUCUAUGGUGGUAGGUGGGAUGGGCUGAGAGGGUGGUCUAUGGUGAUAGAUGGGAUGGGCUGAGAGGGUGGUCUAUGGUGAUAGAUGGGAUGGGCUGAGAGGGUGGUCUAUGGUGAUAGAUGGGAUGGGCUGAGAGGGUAGUCUAUGGUGAUAGAUGGGAUGGGCUGAGAGGGUGGUCUAUGGUGAUAGAUGGGAUGGGCUGAGAGGGUGGUCUAUGGUGAUAGAUGGGAUGGGCUGAGAGGGUGGUCUAUGGUGAUAGAUGGGAUGGGCUGAGAGGGUGGUCUAUGGUGAUAGAUGGGAUGGGCUGAGAGGGUGGUCUAUGGUGAUAGGUGGGAUGGGCUGAGAGGGUGGUCUAUGGUGAUAGAUGGGAUGGGCUGAGAGGGGGGUCUAUGGUGAUAGAUGGGAUGGGCUGAGAGGGUGGUCUAUGGUGAUAGGUGGGAUGGGCUGAGAG